GUGGGGAAUUUUGGACAAUGGGGGCAACCCUGAUCCAGCCAUGCCGCGUGCGGGAAGAAGGCCUUCGGGUUGUAAACCGCUUUUGUCAGGGAAGAAAUCCUUUGGGUUAAUACCUCGGAGGGAUGACGGUAUCUGAAGAAUAAGCACCGGCUAACUACGUGCCAGCAGCCGCGGUAAUACGUAGGGUGCGAGCGUUAAUCGGAAUUACUGGGCGUAAAGCGUGCGCAGGCGGUUUUGUAAGAUCGAUGUGAAAUCCCCGGGCUCAACCUGGGAACUGCAUUGGUGACUGCAAGGCUGGAGUGCGGCAGAGGGGGAUGGAAUUCCGCGUGUAGCAGUGAAAUGCGUAGAUAUGCGGAGGAACACCGAUGGCGAAGGCAAUCCCCUGGGCCUGCACUGACGCUCAUGCACGAAAGCGUGGGGAGCAAACAGGAUUAGAUACCCGUGUAGUCC
rnacentral:rRNA from 1 species